GGAAAAAUUCAAAGUUGUCGGAAUUGAAAAAUAAAAAUAUGGAUAGGCUCGGAAUUCAAGAUUGAGCAAACUGUCCUGAAGAAAUUCUUGCCGGAAAGUACUGUAGCUGCCGGAAAAUUCAAUAAAGUCGCCGGAAAAAACUGAAUGUUGUCGGAAUCGAACGAAACAAGGAUGGGUAGGGUCGGAAUUGUAGGCCGACCAAACUGUCCUUCUGGAGCAAACUGAAAAAGAGGCCGGAAAGGCCCUCACGCGCCGGCGCGUGGGCUCACGCGCCGAGGGUAUUGCCGGCGCGUGGGGGCGCGUGGCUGGCUGGUUUCCGGUGAUUUUUUCUGGGGUUGGUCGGAAUUCUCUUCCGAACCUCGUGGUGGUCUCGGAUUUUGCACAGCACGCGCCAAGGGUUCUGCCGCGCGUGGGGGCGCGUGAAGCGUUGGUUUCCGGUGAUUUUUUCUGAGGUUGGUCGGAAUUCUCUCCCGAACCUCGUGGUGGUCUCGGAUUUUGCACAACACCAACAGAAAAGGUAGUUUAGGUUACGGACAGCCUGUUAAGUNN
rnacentral:lncRNA from 1 species